GACGAACGCUGGCGGCGUGCUUAACACAUGCAAGUCGAACGGUAAGGCUCCAGCUUGCUGGGGUACACGAGUGGCGAACGGGUGAGUAACACGUGGGUGACCUGCCCUGCACUUCGGGAUAAGCCUGGGAAACUGGGUCUAAUACCGGAUAGGACCAUGGUGUGGAUACUGUGGUGGAAAGUUUUUUCGGUGUGGGAUGGGCCCGCGGCCUAUCAGCUUGUUGGUGGGGUAAUGGCCUACCAAGGCGGCGACGGGUAGCCGGCCUGAGGGGGUGGACGGCCACAUUGGGACUGAGACACGGCCCAGACUCCUACGGGAGGCAGCAGUGGGGAAUAUUGCACAAUGGGCGGAAGCCUGAUGCAGCGACGCCGCGUGGGGGAUGACGGCCUUCGGGUUGUAAACUCCAUUCACCAUCGACGAAGGGUUUCUGACGGUAGAUGGAGAAGAAGCACCGGCUAACUACGUG
rnacentral:rRNA from 1 species